GAUGAACGCUGGCGGCGUGCCUAAUACAUGCAAGUCGAGCGAAUGGAUUAAGAGCUUGCUCUUAUGAAGUUAGCGGCGGACGGGUGAGUAACACGUGGGUAACCUGCCCAUAAGACUGGGAUAACUCCGGGAAACCGGGGCUAAUACCGGAUAACAUUUUGAACCGCAUGGUUCGAAAUUGAAAGGCGGCUUCGGCUGUCACUUAUGGAUGGACCCGCGUCGCAUUAGCUAGUUGGUGAGGUAACGGCUCACCAAGGCAACGAUGCGUAGCCGAACUUGGAGGGGGAUCGGCCACACUGGGACUGAGACACGGCCCAGACUCCUACGGGAGGCAGCAGUAGGGAAUCUUCCGCAAUGGACGAAAGUCUGACGGAGCAACGCCGCGUGAGUGAUGAAGGCUUUCGGGUCGUAAAACUCUGUUGUUAGGGAAGAACAAGUGCUAGUUGAAUAAGCUGGCACCUUGACGGUACCUAACCAGAAAGCCACGGCUAACUACGUGCCAGCCGCCGCAGUAA
rnacentral:rRNA from 1 species